GUGAGGAAUAUUGCGCAAUGGAGGCAACUCUGACGCAGCCAUGCCGCGUGCAGGAAGAAGGCGCUACGCGUUGUAAACUGCUUUUAACCGGGAAGAAACCCCAGGACGUGUCCUGGGUUGACGGUACCGGAGGAAUAAGCACCGGCUAACUUCGUGCCAGCAGCCGCGGUAAUACGAAGGGUGCAAGCGUUAUCCGGAUUCAUUGGGUUUAAAGGGUGCGUAGGCGGAGCGUUAAGUCAGUGGUGAAAUCCUGCAGCUUAACUGUAGACUUGCCAUUGAUACUGGCGCUCUUGAGUGCGCUUGAAGUGGGCGGAAUGUGCCGUGUAGCGGUGAAAUGCUUAGAUAUGGCACAGAACACCAAUUGCGAAGGCAGCUCACUAAGGCGAUACUGACGCUGAGGCACGAAAGCGUGGGUAGCGAACAGGAUUAGAAACCCGUGUAGUCC
rnacentral:rRNA from 1 species